rnacentral:rRNA from 1 species
AUGAACGCUGGCGGCGUGCCUAAUACAUGCCAGUCGAGCGAACAGACGAGGAGCUUGCUCCUCUGACGUUAGCGGCGGACGGGUGAGUAACACGUGGAUAACCUACCUAUAAGACAGGGAUAACUUCGGGAAACCGGAGCUAAUACCGGAUAAUAUAUUGAACCGCAUGGUUCAAUAGUGAAAGACGGUUUUGCUGUCACUUAUAGAUGGAUCCGCGCCGCAUUAGCUAGUUGGUAAGGUAACGGCUUACCAAGGCAACGAUGCGUAGCCGACCUGAGAGGGUGAUCGGCCACACUGGAACUGAGACACGGUCCAGACUCCUACGGGAGGCAGCAGUAGGGAAUCUUCCGCAAUGGGCGAAAGCCUGACGGAGCAACGCCGCGUGAGUGAUGAAGGUCUUCGGAUCGUAAAACUCUGUUAUUAGGGAAGAACAAAUGUGUAAGUAACUAUGCACGUCUUGACGGUACCUAAUCAGAAAGCCACGGCUAACUACGUG